AGAUUGAACGCUGGCGGCAUGCCUUACACAUGCAAGUCGAACGGCAGCACGGGAGCAAUCCUGGUGGCGAGUGGCGAACGGGUGAGUAAUAUAUCGGAACGUGCCCAGUCGUGGGGGAUAACGCAGCGAAAGCUGUGCUAAUACCGCAUACGAUCUCUGGAUGAAAGGCGGGGGACUCGCAAGACGCCUCGCGCGAGUUGGACGCGGCCGAUAUCAGAUUAGCUAGGUUGGUAGGGUAAACGCCCACCGAAGGCGACGAUCUGUAGCUGGUCUGAGAGGACGACCAGCCACACUGGAACUGACGACGACGGUCCAGACUCCGUACGGGAGCAGCGAGGUGGGUAAUUUGGACAGUAGGGACGAAGCUGACUCAGCAGUCGCGCGUGCGAGAGUGA
rnacentral:rRNA from 1 species